GGAGGUUUAGUUUAAUGGUAAAACGAUGGUCUCCAAAACCAUUGAUGGUUGUUCAACUCAAUCAACCUCUGCCA
rnacentral:tRNA from 1 species